rnacentral:rRNA from 1 species
GCUAAUACCGCAUAGGACUUUUUUUCGCCUGAAAGGAAGUUAAAAGACGCUUUUUGCGUCACUGCUGGAGGGACCCGCGGUGCAUUAGCCAGUUGGUGAGGUAACGGCUCACCAAAGCAACGAUGCAUAGCCGACCUGAGAGGGUGAUCGGCCACACUGGGACUGAGACACGGCCCAGACUCCUACGGGAGGCAGCAGUAGGGAAUCUUCGGCAAUGGACGCAAGUCUGACCGAGCAACGCCGCGUGAGUGAAGAAGGUUUUCGGAUCGUAAAGCUCUGUUGUCAGCCAAGAACAGGAAAAAGAGGCAAUGCUUUUUCUUUGACGGUAGCUGACCAGAAAGCCACGGCUAACUACGUGCCAGCAGCCGCGGUAAUACGUAGGUGGCAAGCGUUGUCCGGAUUUAUUGGGCGUAAAGGGAGCGCAGGCGGUUCGUUAAGUCUGAUGUGAAAGCCCUCGGCUCAACCGAGGAGGGUCAUUGGAAACUGGCGAACUUGAGUGCAGAAGAGGAGAGUGGAAUUCCAUGUGUAGCGGUGAAAUGCGUAGAUAUAUGGAGGAACACCGGUGGCGAAGGCGACUCUCUGGUCUGUAACUGACGCUGAGGCUCGAAAGCGUGGGUAGCAAACAGGAUUAGAUACCCUGGUAGUCCACGCCGUAAACGAUGAGUGCUAAGUGUUGGAGGGUUUCCGCCCUUCAGUGCUGCAGUUAACGCAUUAAGCACUCCGCCUGGGGAGUACGACCGCAAGGUUGAAACUCAAAGGAAUUGACGGGGGCCCGCACAAGCGGUGGAGCAUGUGGUUUAAUUCGAAGCAACGCGAAGAACCUUACCAGGUCUUGACAUCCUUUGUCCGCCCUAGAGAUAGGGCUUCCCCUUCGGGGGCAAAGUGACAGGUGGUGCAUGGUUGUCGUCAGCUCGUGUCGUGAGAUGUUGGGUUAAGUCCCGUAACGAGCGCAACCCUUAUGGCUAGUUGCCAGCAUUUAGUUGGGCACUCUAGUCAGACUGCCGGUGACAAACCGGAGGAAGGUGGGGAUGACGUCAAAUCAUCAUGCCCCUUAUGACCUGGGCUACACACGUGCUACAAUGGGAAGUACAACGAGCGCGCCAAGCCGCAAGGCCGAGCGAAUCUCUGAAAGCUUCUCUCAGUUCGGAUUGCAGGCUGCAACUCGCCUGCAUGAAGCCGGAAUCGCUAGUAA